rnacentral:rRNA from 1 species
UACGAAGGGGGCUAGCGUUGUUCGGAAUUACUGGGCGUAAAGCGCACGUAGGCGGAAUGUUAAGUCAGGGGUGAAAUCCCGGGGCUCAACCCCGGAACUGCCUUUGAUACUGGCAUUCUCGAGUCCGGAAGAGGUGAGUGGAAUUCCGAGUGUAGAGGUGAAAUUCGUAGAUAUUCGGGGGAACACCAGUGGCGAAGGCGGCUCACUGGUCCGGUACUGACGCUGAGGUGCGAAAGCGUGGGGAGCAAACAGGG